UACGUAGGCAGCGAGCGUUGUUCGGAGUUACUGGGCGUAAAGGGUGUGUAGGCGGUUCUUUAAGUUUGGUGUGAAAUCUCCCGGCUCAACUGGGAGGGUGCGCCGAAUACUGAAUGACUAGAGUGCGGGAGAGGAGAGUGGAAUUCCUGGUGUAGCGGUGAAAUGCGUAGAUAUCAGGGGGAACACCGGUGGUGUAGACGGCUCUCUGGACCGUAACUGACGCUGAGGCACGAAAGCGUGGGUAGCAAACAGG
rnacentral:rRNA from 1 species